rnacentral:tRNA from 1 species
CCUCUCAUGGGCGUAGUGGUAACGCGCCCCAACUAGAGAUCGGGGAGUCGUGAGUUCGAUUCUCACUGAGAAGA